AUUGAACGCUGGCGGCAGGCCUAACACAUGCAAGUCGAGCGAGCGGCGGAAGGGUGAGUAAUGUCUGGGAAACUGCCUGAUGGCGGGGGAUAACUACUGGAAACGGUCGCUAAUACCGCAUCCCAUCAGAUGUGCCCAGAUGGGAGUAGCUGGUAGGUGGGGUAACGGCUAACCUAGGCGACGAUCCCUAGCUGGUCUGAGAGGAUGACCAGCCACACGGGAACUGGUACACGGUCCAGACUCCUACGGGAGGCAGCAGUGGGGAAUAUUGCACAAUGGGCGCAAGCCUGAUGCAGCCAUGCCGCGUGUGUGAAGAAGGCCUUCGGGUGUUAAAGCACUGUCAGCGGGGAGGCGUUACCCGCAGAAGAAGCACCGGCUAACUCCGUGCCAGCAGCCGCGGUAAUUC
rnacentral:rRNA from 1 species